ACCAAAUGCUAGUUACAUUGUCUUCUCUGUAAUGGACUGAUGGUGGUUUCCACAGCAUGCCUUGGGGUUAGGCUGAGUUUGUCCUUAAUUUUAGACCUGGGAGGGAUUUUAGGCCACGGUAUGCCUGAUGGAAAGCACCUUAAAACUCAAACUGUUAAAAUAUGAAACAGAAUGCCAGCAUAAAGAAGAUAUCUAGUUAAGCCUCCUUACUUUAUAGAUCGGGAAACUGAGCCUCAGCGAGAUUGUUUCUUCUGCUGUAAAAUCAUCUGUUUGGAUUUGAGAUCAACAUGAGAAGACCACUAGUUCCAGCCAGAAGCAAAUGUUAUAUCAUGAUGGAUACCCAGUGCAUUUGGGAAUCUGGAAUCAGAGGUGACUCUGAGUAAAAUACAGACAUUCUUUGCUAAUAAAAAGUCCUAAUCAACUAAAUGCAUUACAAGGAUCUAAGACAUCUCCAGAGGCCUCGGGAU